rnacentral:rRNA from 1 species
UAAGGAAUAUUGGUCAAUGGACGCAAGUCUGAACCAGCCAUGCCGCGUGGAGGAUGAAGGCCCUCUGGGUUGUAAACUUCUUUUAUAUGGGACGAAACCCUCUCAUUCUUGAGAGACUGACGGUACCAUAGGAAUAAGCACCGGCUAACUCCGUGCCAGCAGCCGCGGUAAUACGGAGGGUGCAAGCGUUAUCCGGAUUCACUGGGUUUAAAGGGUGCGUAGGAGGGCAGGUAAGUCAGUGGUGAAAUCCCCGAGCUUAACUUGGGAACUGCCGUUGAUACUAUCUGUCUUGAAUAUUGUGGAGGUGAGCGGAAUAUGUCAUGUAGCGGUGAAAUGCUUAGAUAUGACAUAGAACACCAAUUGCGAAGGCAGCUCGCUACACAAAAUAUUGACUCUGAGGCACGAAAAGCGUGGGGAUCAAAACAGGAUUAGAUACCCUGGUAGUCCACGCCCUAAAACGAUGGAUACUCGACAUACGCGAUACACAGUGUGUGUCUGAGCGAAAAGCAUUAAAGUAUCCCACCUGGGAAGUACGACCGCAAGGUUGAAAACUCAAAGGAAUUGACGGGGGUCAUAGCUGUUUCCU